CAAGGGGCUGACAUGUAAUUAUUAUUAGCAAGGUAGAACGUGAUGGUUAAAUACAACAAUCAAUAAGAGUGACAGAGACGCACAAAUUGUUUUUUGUCCCUUUCUGCGUACAUAGGUAAUUUUUGUUUGCCCCAAACUUGUUUGGGGCAAACAAAGGACGCGUGUGCAAAACGAUUGUGAAACUGAAUUAAAUAAAAAGACAUUUUGUUAAUGUGAAGUGUUUUAGGGAUUGCCGAGUGAUUCUUCUAAUAAUUAAAAAUGGUAAAUUGUUGCGUAAUUGGCUGUAAAAACCGUACUCAACGAAAAUGUGAAAACAUAACAUUUCACACAUUCCCAAAGGACGAGACUUUACGAAGUCUUUGGAUUGCAGCGACUGGACGGCAAAAUUGGCAGCCCACUCAGCACACUCGCAUGUGUUCUGUCCAUUUUCAAGCUGGUUGCUUUCAGAAAAAGCAGCAGAAAAUGUAUUUGGCAAAUUAUUCAAUACCAACAUUAGCCGUUCAUGAUGUACCAGUUCAUUAUGACAAAGCUUCAUCUAGCGAAACUACCGAAGUUUUACCCAUGGAAUGCAAUAUUCAAGCAG